CCGUUGCAAGGGACUCCGAAGAGCUGUGGCAAGGGGUGAAAAGCCAAUCUAACCUGGAGAUAGCUGGUCUUCUGCGAAACCCGUUUUAGCGGGUCGCCCAUUUAUUGAAAUUAAAUUCGUUACUAGACGGUACGGCACUGGAAGCCACGCAGCUUUUGCUGCAUAAUCGGGGGGCUGUCAUGGCUCUAUCGAUGGCUUCUAACCCCGGAAAUGUAUAGUAUACAAUGAUGGGCAAUCAGACGUAUCGUGAUAAGGCGAUUCGUCAAAAGGGCAACAGCCCAGAACAGGUGUGAAGGUCCCUAACAAGCUACUGAGUGAACACAAGGCAGUCCUCUCCAGUGUCUCUCCACAAAGUGGGCUUGGAAGCAGCCACCUUUUAGCGAAAGCGUAACAGCUCAGUGGUCUGAGCCUCCCUGUAAAAAGGGUAUAUUGCCUGGUGAGGGCGCCAAAAAUGUAACGGGUCUAUAGUAGUUGUCUCUCUGUUCCAGCUUUGGAUAUGGAGGGAGUGGCAGUUUCUUUACUGUCUCACCGAAACCCUGUCCUAGAUGUAAAAUUCUAGGGGUAGCAGAAUACCCAGCAAAUGGAAUGAAGCUUGCUCAUUGAGCCGGUGGACAUAGCUGGGCUAAGAAUGCUGACAUGAGUAGCCUAAAAGGAGGGUAAUUCCCUCUUCGCCGAAAGCAGAAGGGUUUCAUUUGUAAGGUCUAUACCUAGAUGAUUAAAGCAGCGGCCUCUAAGGUUCAGAGUAACAAAUUAGUUCCGAUGAGUAACUCUUCUAUAGGGCAGUAACCUUCCUUAUAAGUUUACCUUCAAGUAAUUAGAGGUAUACUUCAAAGAGUAAGGUUCGGGAAAGAGCCCUACAGAAUAAAUCUUAAAACCGUACCCUAAACCGACACAGGUCUGCAAGUAGAGCAUACUAAGGCGUAGAGAUAAUCGUCUUGAAGGAACUCGGCAAAAUGACCCCGUAACUUCGGGAGAAGGGGUGCCACUAAUAAGUGGCGGCACUAAACAGGGGGGCGCGACUGUUUACUUAAAACACCGGACUCUGCUAACACUAGCGUGGAUGUAUAGAGU
rnacentral:rRNA from 1 species